GAUGAACGCUGGCGGCGUGCCUAAUACAUGCAAGUCGAGCGAACAGACGAGGAGCUUGCUCCUCUGACGUUAGCGGCGGACGGGUGAGUAACACGUGGAUAACCUACCUAUAAGACUGGGAUAACUUCGGGAAACCGGAGCUAAUACCGGAUAAUAUAUUGAACCGCAUGGUUCAAUAGUGAAAGACGGUUUUGCUGUCACUUAUAGAUGGAUCCGCGCCGCAUUAGCUAGUUGGUAAGGUAACGGCUUACCAAGGCGACGAUGCGUAACCGACCUGAGAGGGUGCUCGGCCACUCUGGAACUGAGACACGGUCCAGACUCCUACGGGAGGCAGCAGUAGGGAAUCUUCCGCAAUGGGCGAAAGCCUGACGGAGCAACGCCGCGUGAGUGAUGAAGGUCUUCGGAUCGUAAAACUCUGUUAUUAGGGAAGAACAAAUGUGUAAGUAACUAUGCACGUCUUGACGGUACCUAAUCAGAAAGCCACGGCUAACUACGU
rnacentral:rRNA from 1 species